AUGUACGGCGGCGACGAGGUCUCGGCGAUCGUCAUCGACGUGGGCUCCUACAGCUGCAAGGCGGGCUACGCUGGCGACGACACCCCCAAAUGCGUCUUCCCCUCGGUUGUUGGUUCAAUUGAACAAACGGGAGAUACUGAUGAAGCUAAGCCAGAAAAGGAGGCCGACUCUGGAUCAGAUCCUAAGAAUGGAUCCAAGCCUAUGGAUGUGGACAAAGCCAAGACAAAGCGCAAAUUUUAUCUAGGCCAAGAAUUUGAAUUCAGGAGGGAUCAUAUGGAGGUGAUCUCACCGCUGAAAGAUGGAACAGUUAUGGAUUGGGAAGUUGUUGACAACAUAUGGAACCAUGCUUUUAGACGGCGGCUAUUGAUCAAUCCUGAAGAGCAUCCUAUGCUGAUAGCAGAACCAUCUACAAACAGUGGACAGCAAAGAGAGAAAGCAGCUGAACUUAUGUUUGAGAAGUACAAAGUGCCAGCGCUGUUCCUAGCAAAAAAUGCAGUUCUCACAUCUUUUGCAUCUGGACGUGCUACAUCUCUGGUGGUUGACUGUGGUGGCGGGUCUACUGUGGUUUCUGCUGUGCAUGAUGGUUAUGUGUUGCAAAAGUCUGCGGCAACUUCUCCAAUUGGUGGUGAAUUUUUAACUGACUGUAUGAUGAAAAGCUUGGAGAGCAAGGGCGUUGUUAUUAGGCCCAAGUAUUCAUUUAAGAAGAAGGAAGUGAGCCCUGGAGAUUAUAAGGUUGUAGAUCUUGAUUUUCCAAACACGACGGAUAGUUACAGGUUAUACUGCAUGAGAGCCAUCGCUAGCGACAUCAAAGAGUCAGUUUGCAGAGUUCCAGAUACCCCCUUUGAUGAAGUGGCAUAUGCAAAUGUCCCUACAACUUCAUAUGAGCUUCCAGAUGGGCAAACUAUUGAAGUUGGUGCAGAUAGAUUCAAGAUUCCUGACAUUUUGUUCAACCCAUAUCUUUCUCAGACUAUUCCUGGCAUCGAUGGAUUUGGAGAUUCCACUUCAAUUCGCGGACUUCCACGAAUGGUCCUUGACAGUGUAAAUAGGUGUGAUGUUGACAUUCGCAAGGAAUUACUCAGCAACAUCUUGCUUUCUGGUGGCUCGUCAUCAAUCCUGCAGAUAAAAGAACGCCUAGAAAAAGAAGUACUGGAGGAGUCCCCUCAAAAUGCUCGCGUAAAGGUUUUGGCAAGUGGAAGUUCAAUGGAGAGGCGUUUCAGUGUUUGGAUUGGAGGGAGCAUUCUUGCAUCUCUCGGGUCGUUCCAGCAAAUGUGGUUCUCCAAAGCAGAGUACGAGGAGCAUGGCGUUUCCUAUAUCCAGAGGAAAUGCCCAUGA
rnacentral:rRNA from 1 species